UCGCCUGACUGAGUACGCGGCGACAACAAAGCGGGUCGAGCGGUUGAAGCUGGACAAGAAGAAUCGGCAAGCUGAAGUUAUCAUGGCCGAGGUGCGGUGGUUGGAAUUGAAGGCCCUUCUCAGCACCCUCUUACCUUCUUCCCCUUGAAUGUACUUAGUUUUAUCCUGAAUGACUUAGCUUGUACAUGCUCAUCAAUCUUAAUGAGAUGGUUUUGUUUACUCUCGCAUUUCCCACGUUACCGGGUAAUACU
rnacentral:lncRNA from 1 species